rnacentral:rRNA from 1 species
UAGCGGCGAGUGAAGCGGCAAAAGCUCAAAUUUGAAAUCUGGCACCUUCGGUGUCCGAGUUGUAAUUUGAAGAUUGUAACCUUGGGGUUGGCUCUUGUCUAUGUUUCUUGGAACAGGACGUCACAGAGGGUGAGAAUCCCGUGCGAUGAGAUGCCCAAUCCUAUGUAAGGUGCUUUCGAAGAGUCGAGUUGUUUGGGAAUGCAGCUCUAAGUGGGUGGUAAAUUCCAUCUAAAGCUAAAUAUUGGCGAGAGACCGAUAGCGAACAAGUACAGUGAUGGAAAGAUGAAAAGAACUUUGAAAAGAGAGUGAAAAAGUACGUGAAAUUGUUGAAAGGGAAGGGUUUGAGAUCAGACUCGAUAUUUUGUGAGCCUUGCCUUCGUGGCGGGGUGACCCGCAGCUUAUCGGGCCAGCAUCGGUUUGGGCGGUAGGAUAAUGGCGUAGGAAUGUGACUUUGCUUCGGUGAAGUGUUAUAGCCUGCGUUGAUGCUGCCUGCCUAGACCGAGGACUGCGAUUUUAUCAAGGAUGCUGGCAUAAUGAUCCCAAACCGCCCGUCUUGAAACACGGACCAAA